GAUUUCCUGCCUGGUUCGCGGACUUGCGUAUGAUAACCCUACACUUUUAAUUCGGGAGCUUAGCUCCGGCGGGGGACUGCAGACCUCCCGGCUUUGCCGGAAGAAGGGAGCGAGAAACCGUUGGGCGGGCACCCACCUGCUUACCGUAGGCAGGUUAUUCUCACACAUUACGGCCAGGCGGGGUCUCU
rnacentral:other from 2 species